CUUUCACUCUUGCUUGAUAAUCCUAUCUCCACUGAAACACAUCUUGUUUCAUAUUAGCUUCCUCCCAUCUACACCUGUAGUUUGUGAGCUUCUAGGUCUCUCGUGCUGAUGAGUUCAUCACUAAAAUCAGCUAAGAUGAUCCAUAUGGAUGUUUAACACCUUAACUUCACUGUCCCCUAAGCUCUAUAAUUCUAAUAACUCUCAGAAGUUAGUCCAUCUAAAACUUCUUUCUUUUCAUAUCUUGACACAUCUGUAUCCUAAGCAUAUAACCUCAACUCCUCCUCAAGUGGAAUUAAAAGAAAUCACAUUUUUCUUUCCUUCACUCACAAAAGAUGAAGUAUUCCAUAGCUUGCUUUUAUACAUUUCCCAUUUACAUGUACUCACAACUCCACACCUUAGAUUUGCUUAUCAUAGAUACCCUUGUCCUCACUUACAUCGUUAAUCUCUCCUUUGCUUGAUCUUAAAAAUCUUUCUACCUUCACACUCACAUAAACUUAAAAUUUCUCUAAAACUUUCCUGAGAUUUGCUAUCCCGCUAAGUUUUUGAUCCUUCUUUCUUCUUUUAUUGCUAAAUUCCUUUCAAAAAAUCGAAUUCUUCCACUUCCGCAAUGCCUUCUUAUUCUUUAAUCUCUCACAAUCUAAGUAUUACUUCUAUCUUCUCUAAAACUACUCAAUAAAUUGUCAAAAGUGUCCUCCUAGAUAUGAAAUUCAAUGAUCCCUUCUGACUCUUCUUUCUCUUUCAAUUCUGCAAAAUUUGAUUGAUUUGGUUAUGUUCUUCUUGAAUCUUUCUUUGUGAAAUUGUACAUCUCCAGUUACCUUCCUAUUUUAGUGACCUUUUCUUUUUCUCACUUUACUGCCUUACAUUCCUUUUUUUUGUAUAGCCUUUUUAACGAUCUCAUUCCCUUGCUGUUCCAAGCUUUCAAAAAUCUUAUGCAUGUUGAUGACAGUGAAAUCUUCAAUGCUAGCUACCAUUUGUUUCUAAAUCCUAAAAUCCAAUUUACUGACUACUGUCAUAUAAGGCCUCCUGAAUAAUCCUCCAGUUUCUAGCCAUAAAGGAUUAGCUGUGAACAGACUAAAUCUCGCAAUGAGAAAAAGGGUAAAAUCUAUUGCAAUACAAAAAUAAUUGUCUGAAGGCAUUAAAGAGUCAAAAGUCAAAGGACCAAGAUCCCAGAGAGAAGGAAAUACUUUGAGAUGCACCUGACAUCAUGCAUGCCAUCCUCCCUUGAGGCAAUUUGAAAACACAUGAAGCAUGAUUCUUGGGGAACAAAGAAGAAAGAACUGCUAAGAGGGUGAAAUCCGGAGGUCAAGGCCCACCAUGGAAAAGACGCCUUAGUAAACAAUCCAGAUUUUUUGUUGAUGCUGCGGAAUGACCAUACUCUUAAAAAAUAAAAGCAGUAUGAAAACAGAGCAUUUUCAGCUCCAACAAGGUGAUUCCUCUAACUUCAACUUAUACUGGAAGACAAUUACAUCUUCUCUGAAGGAAAACACUAUCCUGAGCCUCUCUAAAUUGUUAUAAAUGAAAUCUCAUAUUUACUUGAAAAUUAAAAGCAUGGCAAGAAGGAGAACCAAACGACUAAAAAUCAAGAGAAAGAAAUAAGGAACUUGAACCUACAGAUGAUUCAGAAAUUACCAAACAUGGACUUUAAAAUUUUAUAAACACAACUAAGUCAUUCAAGAAAAUAGAUUUUUAAAAACAGAAAUUUCUCCCUAGAGAACUGGAAUCUAUUUUUAAAAAGAAUGAGAGAGUAAUUCCAGAAUGAAAAGCAUAAUAACAUGAAAUUAAACACUGAAUAUAAUCAACGGCAUAGCACAACAAAAGAAUGCAGUAGUGAAUAGUAAGUUGGUGGGAAAUACACACAAUGAAACACAGAGAGAAAAUAUAAGAAAUGAGAGAAGAAUGUAAGAGACAUAUGGGACGUGCAAAAGGUCUAUGAUAUAUUUAAUUUAUAUUUCUGGGGAGACUGAAAGAAAGAUGGGGUAGAAGUAAUCUUUGAAAAGAUACAAGCCUGCAAUUUUCUCAAACAACAUUAUCAAGAAGCUUCAUGAGUCUCAACUAUAUAAUUACAAAGAAAAUCACAUAUAGGCUUAAAAUCAUUAAAAUUAUGACCAAAAACAGAAAAAAAAAUUAAGGAUACACAGUGACCUAUUACGUCCUAAGGACAAUAUGAUCAGCAUUCAAAUUUUCGACAUAUACAAUACACAGAAAAGACUACAAUGAUUUAUUUGAAAUGCUAAAAUACAAGAAUUACCAACUUAGAAUUGAAGGAAAAUGUCCUUUAAAAUAAAGAGAAAAUCGAUAGAUUUUUAAGCAAACAAAUAGAACCUGAUUGGAUUCAUUAAAGAAAUACUAUAGGAAGAGUGAAGAAGAAACAAGGAAAAUUAUCUGAACUGGAAUCAUAGUAAUAAUGCAAAAUGCAGAAAGAGCCACUAGAAAGGAUAUUUAGAUAAAUUCACUGUUUGAAACAAUAUUAGUAUUAAUCUAUGAAUUUUUAAUAUAGAAAGAAUUAAAAUACAUAAAAAUAAGCUGAAAGCAGAAUAGGAGUAGAUGGAGUCAAAAUGUUGUGAGAUUCCUGUAUUGCCUAGAAAGUGGUAAAAGAUCAUGCUUAGCUUAGAAUCAAGUAAGUUAAGAAUGCAUUCAUAAUCUCUAGAGUAAAAAUUAAGAGUAAUUACAAUGAAAAUGGAAUAUUCCAACUACUUGAUUAAUCAAAAAAAAGAAGAAAAAAUGUCAAGAUUAAGGAACAUAAGAGGAGAGAUGGAAAACAGGAAAUAGUAUAUAUUUUUGAAAAUAGUUUAUUUAAAUAUAAAUAUAUCACUACUUAUAUGAAAUUAGACUAAAUACUUUAAGUAAAAAGCUAAGAUAGACUAAAAACACAUAUACUCACAAAAACUCUGCUGCUUAUAAGAAACAUGCCUAAGACAUAUUCAUUAAAAUUAUUUUUUAAAAAGGAUAACACAAUUUAUCUUGGAAUAUUACUAAAGAUAAAGAAGAAGAUUCAAAUUUGGAAAAGUCAGCUCAAUAGGAUAACAAUCAAAAUUUAUAUGUGCCUAGUAACGAAGCCCCAAAAUACACAAAACACACACUGAUAGACCAAAAAGGAAUAAUAAGCAAUACAAAAACAAUAGUUGGAUAUUUCAGCACAUCUACUUCAGUGGGUAGAGCCAGCAAACUAAAAUCAUUAAGAUUAUAAGUGUUUUGAACAAUACAAUUCAAAAGCUGAGCUUAAGUGACAUAUGUAAGUAUAGGGCAUCUACCAAAAAUCUACAGCAAACAUCACACUUACUGGUGAAAGGUUGACAGCUUUCUCCUUAAGAUCAUGAACAAGGGACACCUGGGUGGCUCAUCGGUUAGCAUCUGCCUUCAGCUCAGGGUGUGAUCCUGGAGUUCCGGGAUCAAGUCCCACAUUGGGCUCCCUGCAGGGAGCCUGCUUCUCCCUCUGCUUGUGUCUCUGCCUUCUCUCUAUGUCUUUCAUGAAUAAAUAAAUCAAAAUCUUAAAAAAAAAAAAAGAUCGUGAACAAAACAAGGAUAUACCUUCCUACCAUUUCUAUUCAAAAUUGUACUGGAGAUUCUAGCCAGGACAAUUAGUCAAGAAAAAGAAAAUCACCCAGAUUGGAAAGGGCGAAGUUAACAUACCUACCCACUAAUAACAUGAUCUUGUAUAUACAGAAUCAUAAAAAAGCAACAAAAAACCUAUUAAAGGUUAUAAGUUCAGCAAGGUUACAGGGUACAAUACCCACAUAUAAAAAUCAAUCAUUUGUAUAUACUAGCAAUGAAUAUAUAAUAAUUGAAUAAUUGAAAAAUGAAAUAAAACAGUUCUAUUUACAACAGCAUUAAAAAGAAUAAAAUAUUUGGGAAUAAAUCUAACAAAAGAAGUACAAGUCUUGUACAUUGAACAAUACAAAAUGUCAUCUGAAAAAAUUAAGACCUUAAAAAAUGGAAAAUAACCCCAUGCUCAUGGAUCAGAAGACUUAAUUGUUAAUGUGACAAUACUUUCUUGUUAAUUGUUAAGAUGACAAUACUCCCCAAAAUAGUCUAUUUAGUCAGUGCAUUAUCAAAAUCCCAGUGGCCUUUUUUUGCAGUAAAUGACAAGUUGAUCCUAAAGGUGUAUGGAAACUUAAGGGAGUCUACACAGCCAAAAAAAUCUUGAAAAGAGGAGCAAAGUUGGAGAACUCUGGCCCCCCAAUUUUAAAGUUUCCUACAAAGUUAUAGUGUUGUGGGCAGCCCGGGUGGCUCAGAGGUUUAGUGCCACCUUCAGCCCAGGGCCUGAUCCUGGAGACCCGGGAUUGAGUCCCAUGUCGGGCUCCCUGCAUGGAGCCUGCUUCUCCCUCUGCCUGUGUCUUGCCUCUCUCUCUCUCUCUCUCCCUCCCUCUCUGUGUCUCUCAUGAAUAAAUAAAUAAAAUCUUUAAAAAAAAAAACCCAAAGUUACGGUGUUGAAAAAGGAAAGACCUGUAGAUCAGUAGAAUAGAACAAAGAAAUAAACUCUCACAAUUAUGGCCAAUUAAUCUCUGACUAUGAUAUCAAGACAAUUCAGUGGGGAAAAAAUAGUCCUUUCUAUUAGUGCUUCUGGGACAACAGGAUAUCCACAUGCAAAAGAAUAAAUUUAGACUCUUCACACCAUAAAGAAAAAUAAUCUCAAAAUAUGUGAAGGUUUCAUUAUAGGAACUAAUACCAUAAUACUCUUAGAAGAAACUAAAAGUGUAA
rnacentral:lncRNA from 1 species